rnacentral:rRNA from 1 species
ACCUUCGUGGGGCAGCCGGCGCGAAAACUUUACAAUGUGGGAAAGCAUGAUAAGGGAACUCCGAGUGCCAGUAUCUAAUACUGGCUGUCCUUGGCUUUUAAGCACCAGAUGAUAGGACCGC